UACGGAGGGUGCGAGCGUUGUCCGGAAUCAUUGGGCGUAAAGGGCGCGUAGGCGGCCUGCUAAGUCGAACGUGAAAUCCCCGGGCUCAACCCGGGAACUGCGUCCGAUACUGACAGGCUUGAAUCCGGGAGAGGGAUGUGGAAUUCCAGGUGUAGCGGUGAAAUGCGUAGAUAUCUGGAGGAACACCGGUGGCGAAGGCGGUUCUCUGGGCCUGUACUGACGCUGAGGAGCGAAAGCGUGGGGAGCGAACAGG
rnacentral:rRNA from 1 species